rnacentral:lncRNA from 1 species
ACAUAGUUGAAGUAUGAAUAUCAGGGGAAAAUAAAUAAAUCAACUCUGUCACUCUCUGUCUCUCCCUCUCUCUGUGUCCCUGUCUCUCUCUCCCUCUCUCUGUCACUGUCUCUCUCUCUCUAUCUCUCCCUCUCUCUGCAGAGCACCAGUCCAGGGACACUCUCCUCCACCUCUCCGUGCGUCUGGGUUUGCUCAGUCUCUCCCGCUUCCUGAUUGGCCAGCCCAGGGGUCAGAGGGCACUGACCCUGCCAAAUGAGGAAGGGGCCACACCACUCCAGCUGGCUCAGAACGGAGGAGACCACACCCUCUUUAUGGCGCUUACCACGUGAGUCUCUGCCUCUGCAUCACAAAAGAUUAUACCAUCAUCAUGUUUGUUCAUUUAUUGCCUUCAUUUUACCAGGUAAGUAAUUGAGGACAUGGUCUCUUUUACCAUAAUGACCCAAGAGCAAUGACUUGUGUGAGUGAUGAUUGUCAUAAAAAAAUGGCCAACUCAAUCAGAUAACUAACACAUACCUUCCUACUUCACUUCCAUACAGCCCCCCUGUACCUGUCGGGGUGUGCACUGUGUGGGCAGAUAGGACUUCUGUUCUAAGGGUAUGUCCUGGGUCUGGCACCCUUAACCUUACCUUCCUGGGGGGCCCUGAGAGCAGUGUUAUGGACAACAUCCUGGUUCUCCGAGAGAAACUGACGGACCACAAUAUCCUCAGACAGAUCUCAGCACUGAGAGGUGAUGUUGAUGUUCAGAUGGAGGACAGUGGCAGAGCGGAUGUCCAUACAAGUGAUACCAGUGAUGGAGGUCUAGGCAGGGGGCUGCCAGUAGAAGACCUUACACUGGUGGUUAGAGUAAGUAUACUUUUCUGCUUUUCUUUUCAAAUGAAAUUACCUGGUACAUCAAUGAGUUUGGUGUGCAUGUGUGGAUCUGUUUUUGUGCGUGUGUGCUUUUGUGAGGCUGGUGAGAGUUAAUGUUGAGCACAUUGCUUGCUCUUUCUCUGGGGAAGCUUUUUGCCUUAUUGUGUGUGUUUCGUUAAGACCAUUCUGAGCAGUGCUUCGCUAAUGGACUGCCCACAUGCAUUCACCUCAUCCUCUGCUCAUAGGUGUGUGCGUGCGUGCAUGCAUGGCUAUCUGAUUCAUUUUAAUCAAAAAGGGGACCAUCGUGCUUUCCAAGAAGCUGGGCUGGUGCGCAACACCCGCAAAUUCAGAACAACAUAAGGUGUAAUGGGUCCGCACUCUAAAAGAUGUCGAAUAAAGCUUACUUAAUUUUGUAUUUUUUUUGUAUUCUUUUCACUGCAUCAGGG